rnacentral:rRNA from 1 species
CAGAAACUCAAAGGAAUUGACGGGGGCCCGCGACAAGCGGUGGAGUAUGUGGUUAAUUCGAUGCAACGCGAAGAACCUUACCUGGUCUUGACAUCCCGGAGACCCUUAGGAAACUAGGGGUGCUUCCAUCUGGAAGAAUCUGGAGACAGGUGCUGCAUGGCUGUCGUCAGCUCGUGUCGUGAGAUGUUGGGUUAAGUCCCGCAACGAGCGCAACCCUUGCCUUUAGUUGCCAGCAGUUCGGCUGGGCACUCUAAAGGGACUGCCGGUGUUAAACCGGAGGAAGGUGGGGAUGACGUCAAGUCCUCAUGGCCUUUAUGACCAGGGCUACACACGUACUACAAUGGCCGAUACAAAGGGCAGCGACACUGCGAGGUGAAGCCAAUCCCGUAAAAUCGGUCUCAGUCCGGAUUGGAGUCUGCAACUCGACUCCAUGAAGUUGGAAUCGCUAGUAAUCGUGGAUCAGCAUGCCACGGUGAAUACGUUCCCGGGCCUU